rnacentral:lncRNA from 1 species
AGCACUUCCCUUAAGCCGGCGCCAGCUGCGCUCUCCGACCGUCCUAACAAAGUCCCAUUGAGUCACCAGCUGAUUUUCCUGUGUUCAGCUCUGGGGGACAAGGGACUCUCUUUGCUGGAUGGGCAUUACUCUAGUGCACUGACCGAGCCACUCACCACUCAGGUCCGCCCCAGUUCCUUCCUGCCCUUUAUGCCAUCGGCAGACUUGGCCAGCUCUCUGUCCUAUGGCCAGUUUUGGUAGAGUCUGAAGAUUAAAAGGGACCGCAAAAAACCCCAGGCACCGCACCCGCACCUUCAGGUCAAGAACCAAUCAGAAAACAGGAUGGCAUCAGAAACCACUCCUACAAGGGACAGCAUUUAAUUGGGACUGUCUUGCAAGUUCUGAGAUUCCUUAUCAUCGUGGUGGGAAGCAUGGCAACAUCUAGGCAGACGUGGUGUUGGAGAAGCUGAAAGUUCUACAUCUUGUUCCAAAGGCAACUAGGAGAAGACUGGCAUCCUCAGGCAGCUAAGAGAAAGCUCUCUUCCUCAACGGGUGGAGCCUGAGUAUAGGAGGAGACCUUCAAACCUACCCCUAUAGUGACACACUUUCUCCAACAAGGCCACACCUCCUAGCAAUACCACUCCCUGGGCCAAGCGUAUUUGUAUCACCACAUUCUGUUCAAACACAUGAGUCUAUGGGGGCCAUACCUAGCCAUAGCACAGUCCACUUUCAAAUGUCUUAUAGUCUAUAGGCAGUCUCAACAACCUUAAAAGUCCGAAGUUAGAAGUCUCUUCUGAGAUUCAUCCAAUCACUUAAUUGUAAUCCCCUAUAAAAAUCAAAAUCAAAAAGCAGAUCACAUACCUCCAGCAUUGCAGGAUAUACAUUACCAUUCCCAAACAUCAUAGUGAGGAAAUCCUGGACCAAAGCAAGACCAAAACCCAGCUGGGCAAACUCCAAACUCUGCAUCUCCAUGUCUGAUGUCAAAGCACUCUUCAGAUCUCCAGCACCUUUCAUCCUUCAUGACUGCUGUUGGCAGAUCUAGCAUUCAGCAGCAACAAACUUCAUUAUGCUGGGCCUUUUUGAGACUUCCUUUGUCAAUGCAAUUAAUAUAAAUAAAUCUCUUUACAUUAA